GAUUCGUCACACUAUCAUUAACUGAAUCCAUAGGUUAAUGAGGCGAACCGGGGGAACUGAAACAUCUAAGUACCCCGAGGAAAAGAAAUCAACCGAGAUUCCCCCAGUAGCGGCGAGCGAACGGGGAGGAGCCCAGAGCCUGAAUCAGCAUGUGUGUUAGUGGAAGCGUCUGGAAAGGCGCGCGAUACAGGGUGACAGCCCCGUACACAAAAGCGCAUGUGCUGUGAGCUCGAUGAGUAGGGCGGGACACGUGGUAUCCUGUCUGAAUAUGGGGGGACCAUCCUCCAAGGCUAAAUACUCCUGACUGACCGAUAGUGAACCAGUACCGUGAGGGAAAGGCGAAAAGAACCCCGGCGAGGGGAGUGAAAAAGAACCUGAAACCGUGUACGUACAAGCAGUGGGAGCACCCUUCGGGGUGUGACUGCGUACCUUUUGUAUAAUGGGUCAGCGACUUAUAUUCUGUAGCAAGGUUAACCGUAUAGGGGAGCCGGAGGGAAACCGAGUCUUAACCGGGCGUUAAGUUGCAGGGUAUAGACCCGAAACCCGGUGAUCUAGCCAUGGGCAGGUUGAAGGUUGGGUAACACUAACUGGAGGACCGAACCGACUAAUGUUGAAAAAUUAGCGGAUGACCUGUGGCUGGGGGUGAAAGGCCAAUCAAACCGGGAGAUAGCUGGUUCUCCCCGAAAGCUAUUUAGGUAGCGCCUCGUGAAUUCAUCUCCGGGGGUAGAGCACUGUUUCGGCUAGGGGGCCAUCCCGGCUUACCAACCCGAUGCAAACUGCGAAUACCGGAGAAUGUUAUCACGGGAGACACACGGCGGGUGCUAACGUCCGUCGUGAAGAGGGAAACAACCCAGACCGCCAGCUAAGGUCCCAAAGUCAUGGUUAAGUGGGAAACGAUGUGGGAAGGCCCAGACAGCCAGGAUGUUGGCUUAGAAGCAGCCAUCAUUUAAAGAAAGCGUAAUAGCUCACUGGUCGAGUCGGCCUGCGCGGAAGAUGUAACGGGGCUAAACCAU
rnacentral:rRNA from 3 species